rnacentral:lncRNA from 1 species
UUUUUUUUUUUUUUUUUUUUGGCCGGGAGAGAGAAGGGCUCCCGGGUCGCGAGGAUUGGAGUGCGCGCCGCCUGACUUCGGGCCCACGCGCACCGCCCCCCCUUCCCGGUUUUGAAAGCCAGAGAGAGGAGUCAAACUGGAAGGCUGCGGAAUGGCAAUCGGAGCUGCUCGCCCAGCCUCACCCUCUUCCCACCACCUCCCUGCCUCACCUUCUUUUAGGUCUUCGGUUCCAGGCCAGUGCACAGCUUAGGCUUGGGCGCAAGAAGGUCUUGGGCAGGUGCCAUCGGGGGCACCUACCCGGGGAUGUCACGUUCUCCUGGGGGCGUGGGGCAGUGAACUACCGACCGCCUCUCCCUUCGAUCACCUGGCUGGGGGCUUGUUAACCUGGCGCUCUUGUUACUCUCGGGGACGACCCUAUAGCGUUUGGGGUUUUUUGUUUUGUUUUUGUUUUUUCCCCUUUUCGAAGCUUUCUAAGGGGAAAAAAAAUUUUUUUUUUGGAGUUCUAAACGUUUUGAUGUGUCUAGAAACGAAAAACAAAAUUUCAAAACGGGAGGGGAGACCAAAAGGAAAAAAAUCUUCCCUGGAGAUGCUUCUACUUCCCAGUCUUGGCUGAAGGAACUACCACCGUGCAGGAUAGAGGAAGAGCGUUUCAAGAGAAUUGGUUAAGUAAAACCUUCAGCGGUAACGUAGGAAGAAAGACACAAGUGGGAAAAUAAUAAAAUGCACAGUAGAUACACCAUACAGAUGAUUGGGGAAGCUCUGCUCCCCCGGAAAGCCUUGUGGAGACAAAGUAUUUGGUUAUUUUCACAGUAUUACAUCUCCCUUUGAAUUAAAUUUUUUUCCCUUCCCAUCAGCCAACUAGAUUUGGUUCCUUAAUUAGGAACCACAAUGAAGUUUCUAACAGAUGUAGCCAAUCACAGAUGCCGAUCCAAAAUAAUAAGUAUAAUUAAUUUUAGGGGACAUCUUUAGUUUAUAAGGCCUGAAAUUAAAAUAGGAUGUUUUUCAACGUUGUGGUACAAAAAUACAGGGAAACCUAUUUGUUCUAGAGUCUUGUACUGACACCAUUUCCUUCCUCUGUGUUGAAAAAGGCUUUCUGUCCCAUACGGCUCCAAACCUCUCUCACCCCAAUACCUCUUUCAAACUCGAUUUCUUUCUAGUCAAAAAACAUCCUAGGAAAUUCUGUUAAAAAUAUUUCCUGAUUUUAACAACUCAGCAAGACAGGGUGAAAUCGUUUAAAUACCACAUGGUCUUGGACAGAUCACACACAUCUUUUUCUUAUAAUGUCAGUGUUAUAAAGAAUAUACUGAAGCAGCGAUUCAUUUAAAUAUAGUUUUUAAAUAUGCAUAACUUAAUCUGAAUAAAUAGUGCCAAACUUCCGGCACACUGAAAUAUUAGCAUAAAGGUCAGAUUCUCUAUGAGAGUUGUCAAACAAAUGUGAUAAUCUCUGGUUCUGCUUGGUGAAGUGAAAGUUAAUUAGUGAUUGAUCAUUUCUAAAUUGAAUACACAACAUUUAGACAAAUUAAGUGAGAAGUCCAAAUAUAUCCAGUUUCUAAUUCUUACAGUAUCAUGCCUUUUAAACCCUAUACGGUGGGUUAACAUUUGUCAUUGUAAAGUAUCUGUUUUCUAGGCACUGGAAAGUAGUGGAAAGUUAACAUGUUUUCUAUAGCACUCGACUCCUCCCCUGAUGACAAAAAAAAAAAAAAAAAAAAA